AUUGAACGCUGGCGGCAGGCCUAACACAUGCAAGUCGAACGAGUGGCGGACGGGUGAGUAAUGUCUGGGAAACUGCCCGAUGGAGGGGGAUAACUACUGGAAACGGUAGCUAAUACCGCAUCCCAUCGGAUGUGCCCAGAUGGGCUUAGCUUGUAGGUGAGGUAACGGGUCACCUAGGCAACGAUCCCUAGCUGGUCUGAGAGGAUGACCAGCGACACUGGAACUGAGACACGGUCCAGACGACGACGGUAGGCAGCAGUGGGGAAUAGUGAACAAUGAGCGGAAGCCUGAUGCAGCCAUGCCGCGGGUAUGAAGAAGGCCUUCGGGUUGUAAAGUACUUUCAGCGGGGAGGCGUUACCCGCAGAAGAAGCACCGGCUAACUCCGUGCCAGCAGCCGCGGUAAUUC
rnacentral:rRNA from 1 species